rnacentral:rRNA from 1 species
AUUGAACGCUGGCGACAUGCCUUACACAUGCAAGUCGAACGGCAGCACGGGUGCUUGCACCUGGUGGCGAGUGGCGAACGGGUGAGUAAUACAUCGGAACAUGUCCUGUAGUGGGGGAUAGCCCGGCGAAAGCUGGAUUAAUACCGCAUACGAUCUACGGAUGAAAGCGGGGGACCUUCGGGCCUCGCGCUAUAGGGUUGGCCGAUGGCUGAUUAGCUAGUUGGUGGGGUAAGGGCCUACCAAGGCGACGAUCAGUAGCUGGUCUGAGAGGACGACCAGCCACACUGGGACUGAGACACGGCCCAGACUCCUACGGGAGGCAGCAGUGGGGAAUUUUGGACAAUGGGCGAAAGCCUGAUCCAGCAAUGCCGCGUGUGUGAAGAAGGCCUUCGGGUUGUAAAGCACUUUUGUCCGGAAAGAAAUCCUUGGCCCUAAUACGGUCGGGGGAUGACGGUACCGGAAGAAUAAGCACCGGCUAACUACGUG